AGCCAUGAGCUAACCACACAGCGAACUAUUCUUUCGCCUUUUACUAAAGAAUACCGUGUGUUUGUCUCGUCAAAUGGCAUAUUCUGCAAUUUAGUUCAGAGUUGGUUUUAUUUGA